UCCCGCUUAGCUCAGUUGGUAGAGCGCGUCACUAGUAUGUCACGUGAGAUUAAUUACGUAAUACAUAUGACGAGGUCAGUCGUUCGAGUCGGCUAGAGGGAA